ACCACUCUGGGGUCACUUUGUGUCCCUUUGGGGGUCACUCCGUGGUCACUUUGGAGUCACUUUGGCCUCCUUGCCAUCACCCCAGUGGUCACUCCUUCGAUGUCCAGCAGGGUCCAGAUGUCCAGUGGUCACUCCCCACCACUCUGGGGUCACUCUCCCCCACUUUGGGUCACUCUCCCCCAUUUUGGGGUCACUUUGUCCCACUUUUGGGGUCACUUUGUCCCACUUUGGGGUCACUUUGUGGUCACUCUGUGGUCACUUCACCCUUCUUACCACCACCCCAGUGGUCACUCUCCCCCAUUUUGGGGUCACUUUGUCCCACUUUGGGGUCACUUUGUCCCACUUUGGGGUCACUUUGUCCCACUUUGUGCCACUUUUGGGGUCACUUUGUGCCACUCUGGCGGUCACUCUGUGGUCUCUCUGUGGUCACUUCACCCUUCUUACCACCACCCCAGUGGUCACUUUGUCCCACUUUGGGGUCACUUUGUCCCACUUUGUGCCACUUUGGGGUCACUUUGUGCCACUUUGGGGUCACUUUGUGCCACUCUGGCGGUCACUCUGGUGGUCACUCUGUGGUCUCUCUGUGGUCUCUCUGUGGUCACUUCGCCCUUCUUACCACCACCCCAGUGGUCACUCCUUCGAUGUCCAGCAGGGAUUCAGUGUCCAGUGGUCACUCUCCACCACUCUGGGGUCACUCCCCACCACUUUGGGGGUCACUUUGUGCCACUCUGGUGGUCACUCUGUGGUCACUUCACCCUUCUUACCAGCACCCCAGUGGUCACUCUCCCCCAUUUUGGGGUCAUUCUCCCCCAUUUUGGGGUCACUUUGUCCCACUUUGUGCCACAUUUGGGGUCACUUUGUGCCACUCUGGUGGUCACUCUGUGGUCUCUCUGUGGUCACUUCACCCUUCUUACCAGCACCCCAGUGGUCACUCUCCCCCAUUUUGGGGUCACUUUGUCCCACUUUGGGGUCACUUUGUGCCACNAGCUUUAAACAACUGUGUGUUUAAUAAAGGGCUUUAAACAACCCUGUCCCCA
rnacentral:lncRNA from 1 species